GACGACUUCUGGGCCGAGUGCGAGCGAGAGGUGGUGCGCGGGCAGAGGGAGAUAGAGCGAGUGCUGGCGUGCGAGGAGAGGCGCGCCCGGCAGGAGGUCGCCGGUCUGUUCCACGACAAGCAGGCCGCCGGCGUGGAGCCUUGCCUGGAGCUGUCGCGGGCGCUGGCGAGGUGCCUGGCGGCCAGCCCCCGCCGCCCGCUGGACUGCGGCGCUGAGCUCCGGGACAUGUCGCGCUGCGCAGACCGCGGCCGCCUCGACAAGCUGGCCGCGGAGGGCGCCGACUCCAGGUUGCCGGCCAGCAGGGGGCUCUCGGGGCCGCCUCCACCGCCGCCACCGCCGCCGGAGCCACGGUCCCCGGCCACCACGGAGGGGGCGGCUCAGAAGUGCUGCUGCGUGCCGGCGCGGCCGCGGCAUUGCUCCGGGGGCUGAGUGCGCGGGGCGUCCUCCAGAUCACAACGGAGCCGAGCCGCUCCGAGAGCCAAACAGCGCCUCGUUGGGGCCUUCCGGCGAAUGCCUGCGCCGCGGCCGCCAUGCCAGCACAUUAGGUCAGAUCAGAAUCAUUACAACCCAUUUUUCA